rnacentral:lncRNA from 10 species
AGAGAAGAACUGAAGCUCAGCUCUUCACCCUACAGAAAGCCUGAAUUUUGUAAAUGUUCUGCUUAGAAUGAGGAAGAAAGAUGAAGAAUGAGGAGGAAGAAGGAAGGAACGAGAGAGAGCCAGGUUUCCAGAAGUUCCCCAGUCAUUGAGCAUUUCUGAGGCUCUUGAUGCAUAUGCCAAGUAGUUAUGGAGAAAGACACAGCAGCUUACCUCUGCAGGCAUCAUUGUGUGAAAGGAAGACCCAGGCUCUCUCACCACCCUUGAACAGAAGCCUUUUGCUAAGGUGAUAGCUACAUGUCCAAGCCUAUUGCGUGGCAUGCAUUUUGCCUUCUGCAGCCCACUAAAGGAAAUUGAAGUAUACAGAAUGCUUAUUUGGUCUACUCAGUAUCAUCCUAAAUGUAUGUACCAAUGCUUAGGAGUUUGCAGUUCACCCGCAAACCUCAGCGAUCCAAGCUCCCCUGGAUGACCAUCACUCACCAAGAAAAGAGCAAUAACAGGACCUGUUUUGCUAAUCCAGGACUGUUCUCCAGCACUAACUCUAAAUAAUCCCUUCUGCUAGAGUCCACUUUCUGGAACCUGUUGCCUCCGUUUUCAACGUUUCCCAAACUUGGUCCGUUGUGUGAGCUGGCUGAUAAAAGUUCCAGAUGCCAGGAGGCAGGCACAACAGUCACUGUCCUGUGGCCUUCAUUCCUUGGGGAAAACACCACAAUGGUCAUCACCUGAACAAAUGGAGUGGGGAGAUGUGGAAGUGAAAGAAAGGGAACGCUGAAGAAGACAGUAUCAGAGACCCAGUAGCAAUGAAACCUCAAUUGGCACAGAGGAUUUGGGAAGAAGGACCCAGAUUUGAGUAUUUUCAGCUCUAGGUGCUGAAGAUGUUCAUGACCAAAUAGACAUGGUAGUUGAGGGAAAGAGGGUUUUAGGGAGCCCUUCUCCUUGGAAUUCUAGGUAAGUGAUGAUGCUAUUUACUAAGAGAAGACAUCCAGAAGAAGGAGCUUGCAUUGUCUUUAUUUUGAUUUUGUUUUGGUGGAAUUGAGAAUACAAUGUAUUAUUACUGU